UACGGAGGGUGCAAACGUUGCUCGGAAUCAUUGGGCGUAAAGCGCACGUAGGCGGCCUGUUAAGUCGGGUGUGAAAUCCCUGGGCUCAACCCAGGAAGUGCACUCGAAACUGGCAGGCUUGAGUACUGAAGAGGGUCGCGGAAUUCCCGGUGUAGAGGUGAAAUUCGUAGAUAUCGGGAGGAACACCAGUGGCGAAGGCGGCGACCUGGGCAGAUACUGACGCUGAGGUGCGAAAGCGUGGGUAGCAAACAGG
rnacentral:rRNA from 1 species